rnacentral:rRNA from 1 species
GAUCCUGGCUCAGGACGAACGCUGGCGGCGUGCUUAACACAUGCAAGUCGAACGAGAAUCUGAUGAAGGAGUUUUCGGACAACUGAUUCAGAGGAAAGUGGCGGACGGGUGAGUAACGCGUGAGGAACCUGCCUUGAAGAGGGGGACAACAGUUGGAAACGACUGCUAAUACCGCAUGAUGCAUAGGGGUCGCAUGAUUCUUAUGCCAAAGAUUUAUCGCUUCAAGAUGG